CCUACGGGAGGCAGCAGUGGGGAAUAUUGCGCAAUGGGCGAAAGCCUGACGCAGCGACGCCGCGUGAGGGAUGCAGGUCUUCGGAUCGUAAACCUCUGUCAGCAGGGAAGAACGGUCACUGUGCUAAUCAGCAGUGAAUUGACGGUACCUGCAAAGGAAGCACCGGCUAACUCCGUGCCAGCAGCCGCGGUCAUACGGAGGGUGCGAGCGUUAAGCGGAAGUACGGGGCGUAAAGCGCUCGUAGGCGGGAUGUCAAGUCAAGGGGGAAAUCCCCGCGCUCAACGUGGGAACUGCCUUUGAAACUGGCAAACGGGAGUGUGUGAGAGGCUAGUGGAAUUCCAGGGGUAGGAGGGAAUG
rnacentral:rRNA from 1 species